GACGAACGCUGGCGGCGUGCUUAACACAUGCAAGUCGAACGAAGAGGCGAACGGGUGAGUAAUACGUGAGUAACCUGCCCUCCUUUGUGGGAUAAGCCUUGGAAACGGGGUCUAUUACCGAACAAAGGGGGAUGGGCUCGCGGCCUAUGAGCUGGUUGGUGGGGUGAUGGUCGAGCAAGGCGGUGACGGGUAGCCGGCCGGAGAGGGUGACCGGGGAAUGUGGAACGGGGAUACGGCCCAGACGACGACGGGAGGCGGAAGUGGGGGAUAUUGCACAAAGUGCGAAGGCCUGAUGCAGCGACGCAGCGUGGGGGAUGAAGGCUUUCGGGUUGUAAACCUCUGUCGCUAUCGAACGGGUAGGUGAAGAAGAAGCGCCGGCUAACUACGUGCCAGCAGCCGCGGUAAUUC
rnacentral:rRNA from 1 species